UGUUUUUCAAAUCUGCUAGAAUUAAUUUAUUUUCAAGAAAAUCCGCUAAAAUGAGUGGCGCGAGGAGAGUGUCAAUCUCGCGCCGAGGGAGAAAAUUAUUCAGUCUGGGUUAAAGAUCCGAUCGGGGCAGAUCGCCCAAGUAUUGCGGUGCUAAAUUUUUAUAAUAUUCCGCAGAACCAUGUGGUGCCGGAAGUGAUAACUUCGUGGGGCCCUCCGGCCAAAGGGUUCCCCCUUCACAUCCGUGAACAACAUCGUUGUCCGACGAACGUUACCGGACACAGCAGAGAAUAUUCUACGCCCGGACAAUCUGCGUGGUUCGUGAUCAUCUACUGCGGAGCACCUGGGGGCUACCACACUUCCUCACUGCACAAUACAGGCGGAGGGAUACCACUUGUCCCUUCAGGCCGGAAAUUAGCCCGAAGGAUGCGCCUGUGAGUACGCCCAUCUACUACGGGAUUCCUCGUGGGAGGUUUCCUGGCUAGAUGCAUUUCUACGGCUCCUCGAAGAAAGUAUCGCCCCUGUGCGGAGCGCAACGGGGGAUCAAUACAGAGAAGCAAAUUGUGUUAAAUAAACCCCACUAACUUUAUUUAACCAUGUGGUGCCGGAAGUGAUAACUUCGUGGGGCCCUCCGGCCAAAGGGUUCCCCCUUCACAUCCGUGAACAACAUCGUUGUCCGACGAACGUUACCGGACACAGCAGAGAAUAUUCUACGCCCGGACAAUCUGCGUGGUUCGUGAUCAUCUACUGCGGAGCACCUGGGGGCUACCACACUUCCUCACUGCACAAUACAGGCGGAGGGAUACCACUUGUCCCUUCAGGCCGGAAAUUAGCCCGAAGGAUGCGCCUGUGAGUACGCCCAUCUACUACGGGAUUCCUCGUGGGAGGUUUCCUGGCUAGAUGCAUUUCUACGGCUCCUCGAAGAAAGUAUCGCCCCUGUGCGGAGCGCAACGGGGGAUCAAUACAGAGAAGCAAAUUGUGUUAAAUAAACCCCACUAACUUUAUUUGUGAGAAUUAAAUCUAAUAAUUAACGUAAAGUAAACCCUAGAGAUUUUAUAUUUAAAUUCCGUGAGCCCAAGGGGCAUUUAAAUGCUAGAAAUGACAUACCCCCGAAUGGGUCUUUGUAAAACUUAAAGUUCGAAAUAGAGAAUAAUUAUUGCAAGAGUGAAA